GCCUACGGGAGGCAGCAGUGGGGAAUAUUGCACAAUGGGGGAAACCCUGAUGCAGCGACGCCGCGUGAGUGAAGAAGUAAUUCGUUAUGUAAAGCUCUAUCAGCAGGGAAGAAAAUGACGGUACCUGAGUAAGAAGCCCCGGCUAACUACGUGCCAGCAGCCGCGGUAAUACGUAGGUGGCGAGCGUUGUCCGGAUUUACUGGGCGUAAAGGGAGCGUAGGCGGACUUUUAAGUGAGAUGUGAAAUACUCGGGCUCAACUUGAGUGCUGCAUUUCAAACUGGAAGUCUAGAGUGCAGGAGAGGAGAAUGGAAUUCCUAGUGUAGCGGUGAAAUGCGUAGAGAUUAGGAAGAACACCAGUGGCGAAGGCGAUUCUCUGGACUGUAACUGACGCUGAGGCUCGAAAGCGUGGGGAGCAAACAGGAUUAGAUACCCGGGUAGUC
rnacentral:rRNA from 1 species